rnacentral:lncRNA from 1 species
ACCACCAUCAGAAAGACUCAACCAAAUGAUCAUAUUAUGAAUGAUAAUUCCAUUAGUCAAUAAGCACCAGGCCUUUGGGCCUCUAGUGAUUAUUAAACUAAUAGACUCAUUAUCACUCACUUAAUGGGAGGCUAUGACUUAGUUAUCACUAUAACUUAAUCAUUUUUAGGGACCUAAUAAUUUUUGAGGAUUUUAUUAAAGAAUAGAAGAGAAGUAAUUAACCAGCUAAUUUCAAUCCUCUCACUGACUUCAUCAAGUCAGAUUAAAAAAGAUUUAAUUAAAGCCGGCAUUAGGAGCACCUAAAUCAGUCACACUGAUUUACCUAAUGACAUGGGUGAGUCCUAAUCACCAAGUGAUUUAAUCAAAAUCUAACUCACCAGGUUGGCCAGGUAAGUGAGAUCAGUGGUGAGGAUAUGCCAUUAACUCGUCAGAGAUCGAAUCAAUGCGAGUAGCUCCCACUUAAAAACCACUGGUCAGACUGUCGAACUUACCUUAGACACCAACCGAUUUAUUAGUUUUAAUUUGAUCAACUUAGUAAAUAGGGUUCCACCGUGUAGCCAUGAAUUAAGUCCAUCUUGGUCUAGUUAAAGACAUGGACCCAUUCAACUACAACUAUUGGAGUUGAGUCUAG